rnacentral:rRNA from 1 species
AUUGGAAACGAUGGCUAAUACCGCAUAAUGCCUACGGGCCAAAGAGGGGGACCUUCGGGCCUCUCGCGUCAGGAUAUGCCUAGGUGGGAUUAGCUAGUUGGUGAGGUAAUGGCUCACCAAGGCGACGAUCCCUAGCUGGUCUGAGAGGAUGAUCAGCCACACUGGAACUGAGACACGGUCCAGACUCCUACGGGAGGCAGCAGUGGGGAAUAUUGCACAAUGGGCGCAAGCCUGAUGCAGCCAUGCCGCGUGUGUGAAGAAGGCCUUCGGGUUGUAAAGCACUUUCAGUCGUGAGGAAGGUAGUGUAGUUAAUAGCUGCAUUAUUUGACGUUAGCGACAGAAGAAGCACCGGCUAACUCCGUGCCAGCAGCCGCGGUAAUACGGAGGGUGCGAGCGUUAAUCGGAAUUACUGGGCGUAAAGCGCAUGCAGGUGGUUUGUUAAGUCAGAUGUGAAAGCCCGGGGCUCAACCUCGGAAUUGCAUUUGAAACUGGCAGACUAGAGUACUGUAGAGGGGGGUAGAAUUUCAGGUGUAGCGGUGAAAUGCGUAGAGAUCUGAAGGAAUACCGGUGGCGAAGGCGGCCCCCUGGACAGAUACUGACACUCAGAUGCGAAAGCGUGGGGAGCAAACAGGAUUAGAUACCCUGGUAGUCCACGCCGUAAACGAUGUCUACUUGGAGGUUGUGGCCUUGAGCCGUGGCUUUCGGAGCUAACGCGUUAAGUAGACCGCCUGGGGAGUACGGUCGCAAGAUUAAAACUCAAAUGAAUUGACGGGGGCCCGCACAAGCGGUGGAGCAUGUGGUUUAAUUCGAUGCAACGCGAAGAACCUUACCUACUCUUGACAUCCAGAGAACUUUCCAGAGAUGGAUUGGUGCCUUCGGGAACUCUGAGACAGGUGCUGCAUGGCUGUCGUCAGCUCGUGUUGUGAAAUGUUGGGUUAAGUCCCGCAACGAGCGCAACCCUUAUCCUUGUUUGCCAGCGAGUAAUGUCGGGAACUCCAGGGAGACUGCCGGUGAUAAACCGGAGGAAGGUGGGGACGACGUCAAGUCAUCAUGGCCCUUACGAGUAGGGCUACACACGUGCUACAAUGGCGCAUACAGAGGGCAGCCAACUUGCGAGAGUGAGCGAAUCCCAAAAAAUGCGUCGUAGUCCGGAUCGGAGUCUGCAACUCGACUCCGUGAAGUCGGAAUCGCUAGUAAUCGUGGAUCAGAAUGCCACGGUGAAUACGUUCCCGGGCCUUGUACACACCGCCCGUCACACCAU